GCACCCCAGCAAACCCUACUCUUCUGUGUCAGUGCUGGGCUAGGGUAAUGAUGGUGCCAUAGUGAUCCAAAGUGUAUCCAGAUGGGCCUCCGCUACAUUGAAGCUUGUCUCUACAACUUUGACACAGUG